GGAUGGACAUGGACUUAUUCAUGUCCCGCACUUUCUGGUUUAAUUUAAUCAGAUGAUGGGAUGAUGACGACAACCGCAGAUUUGUCUUUCCUUGUACCUUAUCUUUUUUGUUUCCUCGCAACAGCAUAACCAAGAGCAAUCCUUUGUACCUUAUCUUUUUUGUUUCCUCGCGACAGCAUAACCAAGGUGCUUGUAAGGCAGUUGUGCACCUGUCUCUAUUGUUGUUGUUGCUUUAUGGUCUUGUCUUGAACAAUGUGACUUGUCAUAAGGAGU
rnacentral:lncRNA from 1 species